AGACGUCUACAUUAGAUACCCGGGUAGUCCCAGCCGUAAACUAUGCGCGUUAGGUGUAUCGGUGACCACGAGUCACCGAGGUGCCGAAGGGAAACCGUGAAACGUGCCGCCUGGGAAGUACGGUCGCAAGGCUGAACUUAAAGGAAUUGCGGGGAGCACCACAACCGGGUGGAGCCUGCGGUUUAAUUGGACUCAACGCCGGGAAGCUCACCGGAUAAGACAGCGGAAUGAUUGUCGGGCUGAAGACUCUGCAUGACUAGCUG
rnacentral:rRNA from 1 species